GCCCGCCUAGCUCAGUUGGCAGAGCGGCUCAUUCGUAAUGAGCAGGUCGCCGGUUCAAAUCCGGCGGUGGGCUCAA
rnacentral:tRNA from 1 species